AAUAGCCUAACGGCUGAACCAGCAACUUGGAGGAAUGUAUAGCAAUAGCUAGUUGCAUUGUGAUACAGUGCAAGAUCAACUAUGUUGAAUAAAAUUCUGGGUAAGAUUUAAUAAUGACAUUUUUUAUCCAUAUGUCUUGACCAAAAUACGUGCCAGCAGUCGCGGUAACACGUUAGAGACUAGUGUUAUUCAUCUUUAAUAGGUUUAAAGGGUACCUAGACAGUAGAUCAAGCCUUAAUAACAAUUAAUUCCUUAAUGGAAUUAAUUUGGGACUAAUCUUCUAGAGUUACUUGUGAGGGGGCUAAAAAGUACUGUUGGUCUAGAGAUAAAAUUUUUUGAGACCAGUUUUCGAAAGAUUAAUAAUGGCACAGGUAAAGGCGAAAGCAUCUCCCCAUGGGAUAACUGACGUUGAGGGACGAAGGCUUUGAAUAGCGAAUAGGAUUAGAUACCCUAGUAGUCGAAGGAGAGAAUUAUGAGUGUCAUAAAUUAGAUUAAAGUUUAAUUUAUAAAUGAAAGUGUAAGCACUCCACCUCAUGAGUAAAGUGGCAACGCCGGAAUUGAAAUCAUUAGACCGUUUCUGAAACCAGUAGUGAAGUAUGUUGUUUAAUUUGAUGAUCCACAAAAAACCUUACCACAACUUGAAUAUUUAUGUUUUGUUUAGAUUAAUAAAUAAAAUGUUUAUACAAGCGUUGCACGGCUGUCUUCAGUUAAUGUCGUGAGAUUUGGUUAGAUCCAUUAAAUUAACGCAAACCCUUGCUUUAUUUUUAAAUAAUGCAGCUCGUCCACUAUAACGGAUAUGAUAAUAGGGACUAAGACAAGUCAUCAUGGCCUGGAUGUUGU
rnacentral:rRNA from 1 species